rnacentral:tRNA from 1 species
GCAGCGGUGGUUCAGGGGUAGAAUUCUCGCCUUCUUUGCAGGAGAUCGUGGUUCAAUUCCUAGCUGAUGCA